rnacentral:lncRNA from 1 species
UGAAUGUCUGGUCCACCGCUCCCCGGCUUCUUUCCCCGCUUUUGCUUUUCCCUUCCCCCGCUCCCGCCCUCCCGCCUCACGACCCGACCACCGCCCAGCUGGGCCCCCGCGGCUCCACUGCGCAGAAGGUGCACUGGAGGCCCUGCCCGUUGCCCGCCCCGCGGGGUGCCGAGAAGUCAACCUGAAUAAACGCCUUGUAAAAAGAACUUCCUAAUGGAAAAAAUAUCUUAUGAUUUCCAUUCUCAACGCUCUUCAGAGGACUAAAAGAUAAAGGCCACGAUGGAUUCAUUCAACAAGUCCUAAUCCUGCGCCCUGGUGUGUGCCAGACCCUGCUCCCCGCGAGGGGAUCCACGAGCGACCCUCACCAUUUUGGCACAACGGAAGCGUUAUAAUCUUCUAUUCAUUUCUGGCAAGAGUAUAAAUAAGUUCAAAAACUUUGGAAAAUUGUUUGCCUGUAUAUUCUAGUGGUAAAACACACAUACAUAUAUGCUAUGACCCAGAAAUUCAACUUUUCUACCCCAUAGACUUGUGCUUUCCAAUAUGAUAGCCACAAACCACGGGUAGCUAUUGAACACUUGAAAUCUUGCUAGUGUCACAUGGGGUAAUGAUAAUACCUUAAAUAUAUUUAGUUGAAUAUAUAUUAUAAAAAAUAAUUUCACCUCUUUCUUUUUACUUUUUAAAACAUGUCUACUAAUACAUUUAAAAGUACGUAUAUGCCUGGCAUUAUAUUUCUAUUGGAAUUUCUAUUUCUAGAGAAACGUGAAUAUGGUUUACCAAAGACAUGUAAAACAAAUACAUAUUUAUUCAAAAUAUUCCUAAACUAUAAAGAAUUCAAAUGUCUGAGGAAAGAAAAGAAAUUUUAUGUGAGGAAAGUGAGUGCUUUCAAAUUAACAAGCCCAGAGUUAGGCAUUAAAAUGAGACAGCAACAACGUCUUAUGUCCCUGUUUUGAAGCCGUGUAUUCAUCUAUUAAAACAGCUUGCUAUCAUCACAAGUGGCUAUAAAGCAACCUAAACAUGCUGCACUGGACACCAUCUCUCACUCCCUGUAGCUGAACAAUGUAUAGCUAAUCAUUAAUCAAUGUUAUUUCUGUAAACUUCAGGGAGUUCCUGACAGGCAAUUUUGUACCAGCCAACUCCCCGUCUCCCUUUUUGGUCUUUAGAAAC